rnacentral:rRNA from 1 species
CUACGGGAGGCACCAGUGAGGAAUUUUGCGCAAUGGGGGAAACCCUGACGCAGCAACGCCGCGUGAGUGAUGAAGGCCUUCGGGUCGUAAAACUCUGUCAAGUGGGAAGAACCUAUGUAAGGUUAAUACCCUUAUGUACUGACGGUACCACUGAAGGAAGCACCGGCUAACUCCGUGCCAGCAGCCGCGGUAAUACGGAGGGUGCAAGCGUUAUUCGGAAUUAUUGGGCGUAAAGGGCGCGCAGGCGGUUUUGUAAGUCAGAUGUGAAAGCCCGGGGCUUAACCUCGGAAGUGCAUUUGAUACUGCAAGACUUGAGUAUGGGAGGGGGAAGUGGAAUUCCUGGUGUAGAGGUGAAAUUCGUAGAUAUCAGGAGGAACACCAGUGGCGAAGGCAACUUCCUGGACCAAUACUGACGCUGAGGCGCGAAGGCGUGGGGAGCAAACAGGAUUAGAUACCCUCGAGUC